CAGUAGCCGCGGGAAUACAGAGGGUGCGAGCGUUAAUCGGAUUUACUGGGCGUAAAGCGUGCGUAGGCGGCUUCUUAAGUCGGAUGUGAAAUCCCUGAGCUUAACUUAGGAAUUGCAUUCGAUACUGGGAAGCUAGAGUAUGGGAGAGGAUGGUAGAAUUCCAGGUGUAGCGGUGAAAUGCGUAGAGAUCUGGAGGAAUACCGAUGGCGAAGGCAGCCAUCUGGCCUAAUACUGACGCUGAGGUACGAAGGCAUGGGGAGCAAACAGGAUUAGAUACCCCUGUAGUCCCUGUCUCUUAUAC
rnacentral:rRNA from 1 species